GGGGCUGAGAAAAGCACAGCGGGCUGCACCCGGAGAAGCCCUGUCUUGGAGCUGAAGGACGCGGGUUCGAUUCCCGCCACCUCCACCA
rnacentral:tRNA from 1 species